rnacentral:rRNA from 1 species
AACGAACGCUGGCGGCAGGCUUAACACAUGCAAGUCGAACGCACCUUUCGGGGUGAGUGGCAGACGGGUGAGUAACGCGUGGGAAUCUACCCUUCUCUACGGGAUAGCUCCGGGAAACUGGAAUUAAUACCGUAUACGUCCUGAGGGAGAAAGAUUUAUCGGGGAAGGAUGAGCCCGCGUUGGAUUAGCUAGUUGGUGGGGUAAAGGCCUACCAAGGCGACGAUCCAUAGCUGGUCUAAGAGGAUGAUCAGCCACAUUGGGACUGAGACACGGCCCAAACUCCUACGGGAGGCAGCAGUGGGGAAUAUUGGACAAUGGGCGCAAGCCUGAUCCAGCCAUGCCGCGUGAGAGAUGAAGGCCCUAGGGUUGUAAAGCUCUUUCAGUGGGGACGAUAAUGACGGUACCCACAGAAGAAGCCCCGGCUAACUUCGUG